AGAAGGUUUUCGGAUCGUAAACUUCUAUCAGCAGGGAAGAAAAUGACAGUACCUGACUAAGAAGCCCCGGCUAACUACGUGCCAGCAGCCGCGGUAAUACGUAGGGGGCAAGCGUUAUCCGGAAUUACUGGGUGUAAAGGGUGCGUAGGCGGCGAGGCAAGUCAGAUGUGAAAGCCCUAGGCUCAACUUAGGGACUGCAUUUGAAACUGCUUUGCUAGAGUGCAGGAGAGGAAAGCGGAAUUCCUAGUGUAGCGGUAAAAUGCGUAGAUAUUAGGAGGAACACCAGUGGCGAAGGCGGCUUUCUGGACUGUAACUGACGCUGAGGCACGAAAGCGUGGGGAGCGAACAGGAUUAGAUACCCUGGUAGUCCACGCUGUAAACGAUGAGUGCUAGGUGUCGGCCUGUAGAGGGUCGGUGCCGAAGUUAACACAUUAAGCACUCCACCUGGGG
rnacentral:rRNA from 1 species